rnacentral:rRNA from 1 species
GACGAACGCUGGCGGCGUGCUUAACACAUGCAAGUCGAACGGAAAGGCCCUGCUUUUGUGGGGUGCUCGAGUGGCGAACGGGUGAGUAACACGUGAGUAACCUGCCCUUGACUUUGGGAUAACUUCAGGAAACUGGGGCUAAUACCGGAUAGGAGCUCCUGCUGCAUGGUGGGGGUUGGAAAGUUUCGGCGGUUGGGGAUGGACGCGCGGCUUAUCAGCUUGUUGGUGGGGUAGUGGCUUACCAAGGCUUUGACGGGUAGCCGGCCUGAGAGGGUGACCGGCCACAUUGGGCCUGAGAUACGGCGCAGACUCCUACGGGAGGCAGCAGUGGGGAAUAUUGCACAAUGGGCGGAAGCCUGAUGCAGCAACGCCGCGUGCGGGAUGACGGCCUUCGGGUUGUAAACCGCUUUCGCCUGUGACGAAGCGUGAGUGACGGUAAUGGGUAAAGAAGCACCGGCUAACUACGUG